rnacentral:ncRNA from 1 species
AACAGGGGUGCACUUCGUGCUGAGACAUACCCUUAUCACCUGAUCCAGGUAAUACUGGCGUAGGGAGUUCAGGAU